AGAUUGAACGCUGGCGGCAGGCCUAACACAUGCAAGUCGAGCGGCAGCACGGGUACUUGUACCUGGUGGCGAGCGGCGGACGGGUGAGUAAUGCCUAGGAAUCUGCCUGGUAGUGGGGGAUAACGCUCGGAAACGGACGCUAAUACCGCAUACGUCCUACGGGAGAAAGCAGGGGACCUUCGGGCCUUGCGCUAUCAGAUGAGCCUAGGUCGAUUAGCUAGUUGGUGAGGUAAUGGCUCACCAAGGCGACGAUCCGUAACUGGUCUGAGAGGAUGAUCAGUCACACUGGAACUGAGACACGGUCCAGACUCCUACGGGAGGCAGCAAGUGGGGAAUAUUGGACAAGUGGGGACGAAAAGGCCCUAGGAUCCGAGCCAUACGCCCGUCGGUUCGUGUGAAGAAGGUUCUUACGGAUUGGUAAAGCUAACGUUUAAAGUU
rnacentral:rRNA from 1 species